rnacentral:rRNA from 1 species
GUCCACGCCCUAAACGAUGUCGACUAGUUGUUGGGGAGUUAAAUCCCUUAGUAACGCAGCUAACGCGAGAAGUCGACCGCCUGGGGAGUACGGUCGCAAGAUUAAAACUCAAAGGAAUUGACGGGGCCCGCACAAGCGGUGGAUGAUGUGGUUUAAUUCGACGCAACGCGAAAACCUUACCUACCCUUGACAUGUACGGAACUCCGCAGAGAUGUGGAGGUGCCCGAAAGGGAGCCGUAACACAGGUGCUGCAUGGCUGUCGU